rnacentral:rRNA from 1 species
GAUUAUUGGGCUCUAAAAUAUGCACACAUCGCCCGUCGCUCUCGUGAUAAAUGAGAUAAGUCGUAACAUAGUAGAUGUAUUGGAAAAUGUAUCUAGAAAGUCA